rnacentral:rRNA from 1 species
GACGAACGCUGGCGGCGUGCUUAACACAUGCAAGUCGAACGAGAAUCUACUGAAAGAGUUUUCGGACAAUGGAUGUAGAGGAAAGUGGCGGACGGGUGAGUAACGCGUGAGGAACCUGCCUUGAAGAGGGGGACAACAGUUGGAAACGACUGCUAAUACCGCAUGAUGCAUAAGAGUCGCAUGGCUUUAUGCCAAAGAUUUAUCGCUUCAAGAUGGCCUCGCGUCUGAUUAGCUAGUUGGCGGGGUAACGGCCCACCAAGGCGACGAUCAGUAGCCGGACUGAGAGGUUGAACGGCCACAUUGGGACUGAGAUACGGCCCAGACUCCUACGGGAGCAGCAGUGGGGAAUAUUGGGCAAUGGGCGCAAGCCUGACCCAGC